rnacentral:lncRNA from 10 species
CACGCCUGUAAUCCCAGCACUUUGAGAUGCCAAGGCUGGCAGAUCUCUUGAGCUCAGGAGUUUGAGACCAGCCUGCAAAACACAGUGAAACCCUGCCUCUAUAAAAAAUACAAAAAUUAGGUGGGCAUGGUAGUCUGUGAAUGUAGUUCCAGCUACUUGGGAGGUUGAGGUGGAAGGAUCACUUGACCCCAGGAGGUCAAGGCUGCAGUGAGUCAUGAGUGUGCCACUGCACUCCAGCCUGUGCGACAGAGUGAGACUCCGUCUCAAGAAAAGAAAAGAAAAAGGAAACUGCAACGAUGAACAGAUCAGAAUAGGCGACAUGCACUGAACAAGGUAAAAAAGACAGAAAAUUAUCUGGAGAGGUGGCCGGAGGACACAUCAAGAAGCGCCUUGUACAUUGAAUCAGGCAACAUCUCAUCCUAUAAAAUAAAAUGGGUUUUCCGAUGAGCUGAGAAGACGAGCCUGGCUUUAUAGGCAGAAAAGGGCUGAAGAAAACAGAAACAGAGAACAAAAAGCAGAUGCUUUGUUUCAAGGUUAGUACCCUGAUAGUGUUAAAGCAGAAGGGACUUCCUGGUCAUACCAUCUUAAGGUAAGCUGCUCCCCUUUUGAUUAGUUGCUGUGAAUCUCAUUCGCUCUCUAUUUUUUUUUUUAUUAGAAAGCUGGCCUAUUUCAGAGUUCAGUUUGAUUAUGUGGCAUUUAACAUGAAUGACUCCAUUCUGGUCUGCUGGGCCUAGUUCAGGAGCCCAGUCCAAAACAAUAGUCUCCCAUAAAUUUCAUUUAACAAUAGUAAACAAGAUAAAGUAUUCUGCCUCCCCGGUGGUUACAGUCUAGAAAUGGAUGGGAAGAUAAUCAAAAUAGCAUUAAGUUCUAGAACAAAAGUAGAACAAAAUUAAGAGUAGGGAGUGAUGAGGGCAAGGAGCUAAUUUAGACUGGGUGGUCAGGAAAGGCCUCUGAGGACGUGACCUUUAGGCUGAGAACUUAAUAAUGAGAAAGAUAAAAUCUUGUAAAAAUCAGGAGCAGAGAAACUUGAAAGACACUGGGUGGGCAUGAGCCUGCGUUUUCGCAGGCAGAGGGUCAGUGUGCCCAGGGCCCAAUUUCACCAAAUGAGGUCAGAAGGGGUCAUGACCAGCUCCGGUAAGUCCUCUUAGGCCAUGAUAAGCUGUCUUGAUUUAGUUCUGCCCACAACAGGAAGCCACAAAAGGGUUUUUACAAAAGGGAGUGAGAUGAUCUGACUUAAUAUUUGUGGAUUACUCUGGUCUCUGUGCAGAAUAGAAAUUGUACCAGGUUCUCACAGUAUUUCCGUGAGAUGAUUGCAGCUUAGAGCUAGAGAUAAAGAAAAGAGGAUGAAUUGAGGCUGUCUUGGGGAAGAUGACAGCACUCACUGAUGGAGUAUAUGAAGGGAGUAGCACGGGACAAGAGGAAUCAAGAGUGAUUCCUGUGUGAGACUGGAGCCACAGUGUAGUAGAUGGUGGUGUCAUUUCCUAAGUUGAUAAAGAGACUAGAGGAGAAGUGAGCUUGAGGGACAGAGGUGGAAGGAACCCAAAGUUCUGUUUAGGGCAUAUGAGGUGGAGAUGCUAUUAGACUUUUAAGCAGAGUAUAGAGGCAACCCGCUGCCUCUACAAGCCUGAAGCUUAGUGGACAGAUCAGGAGUGGAACUGUAAACCUGCCAAUCAUCAGCAAGGAAUGACUUUAAACAGGGAGUUGAACAGAUAAGCUGGGCCACGUAAAUAUUGAAAGAGGAUGGGGAGAGGAAAAGAAAGAGAAGUGGAGGGGAGGGAAGGGGAAAAGAAUAAGGUCCCAAAUCAAUCUUGGCCGUCCUCAAAGAGAGGAGAUGGAGGAACAGCAAGUGAUUGGGGAAGGAAAUCCACCUAGGAGAGGGUGUGCUAUAGAAGCUGGAGGAGAAAGUGAGAGGUUGAAGAAAGUGCUAAAGGAUAGGGUCAGAAAAGCAACAAGUGACCAGAUUUGGCAAAAUAAGUCAUUAAUCACAUUGAUUAGAACCGUUUUGGGGAGUGAUGGGUUCAACAGCUCAAUGACAGUGAAUUGAGAGAACGAGAACUGAGAAAGUGGAGACAGUGCCUCUAAACAGCACUUUAAAGACAUGUUGUAUGGAAAAAAACAAGAUUGUAACAGGAGGGAGAAGGUCAGGGAAGAGUUUUUUUUGGCUUUGGUUGACUUGGUUUUUAAGAUGCAAGAUUCCGGCACCUUUGUAUGCCUUUGGAGUUAGAGAGAGAGGGGCUGGAUGCAGAGCCAGCCUGAAAAGGUCCUGAGAAGGUGAGGGGGGCUGGGGUCCAGGAGCUAGCAGAUGGUAAGGUUGGCCUGAGAGAGCAGCCAACUCCCCCACUGAGGCCUAGGAAAGAGCACGUGGGCAGAGACAGCUGCAGGGUACAGUUGAUGAAGGGAAGGUCUAGUCUGCAGCUUGAAGCUUCUUUGUGAAGUUUGAGAGGAAGACAUCAGCUAGACUAUGAGGGAGGGGGAGCAGGUGUUGGAGCUUUGAAGGGAGAGCAGCUAUAAAAUGCUUCCUUGUAGGAUGGGCCAGGGAAUAACCCCGGGAAGUGCAGGCGGGGCUCCAGGCCCUGGGAGAACCCAUCAAUAUUUGUGACCCUGAAUUAAAGGAAGACUAGUUAAGUAGGUGGAUGAUACCGUGUUGACCAAGAUGGCUUGGGAAUGUACAAUCCUGGCAUCUGAGGAAACAGACCUGGCAAGAGGCAGUAAUGUGAAGUAGCCAUCUCUCUGAGCAUGCUUUCCUCACCACUUCUUCCUUCACAGGAUCCGGUUUUGUUCAGGUGUUCACACGAAUCAUGAGAUUCACAGGAAUGGGAAGCCGAACUCAUUCCCAGCUCCAGAAGUGGAUGCUGAUAUUUUAAACCAAUCACCAGAUGCCAUUCCUUUGAUGAUGAUGAUUAAUUUGUCCAGGGGCAGGUAUGAGACCCAACUUGAACUGGUCAGACAGAAGGGAAGGACAUAAUUCCAAAUGGACACCUGUUCUCUCUCCUACCAGUGAGGAAAAGGAAACGAGAUGUCCAGCUGUUGGCCCCAGUCAUAAGAGGAAGCUGAUGCUGCGGAUGAAGAGUGGAGCAAUGGAAAUAAUCUGGGGUCCAGUAACAUUGCUAAACUACUGAUUCAACUAGCCUUUCUUUUUUUCUUUUCUUUUUCUUUCUUUUCUUUUUUCUUUCUUUUUUUUUUUUUUUAAGAGACAGGGUCUUGCUCUGUCACCUAGGCUGGAGUGCAGUGGUGAGAUUAUAUCUCACUGCAGCCUCCCACUUCUGGGCUCAAAUGAUCUUUCCUCCUCAGCUUCCCAAGUAGCUAGGACUAUAGGUUCAUGCCACCACACUGGGCUAAUUUUUAAAUUUUUUUUGUAGAGACAGGGUCUUGCUAUGUUGCCAAGGCUGGUCUAGAACUCUUGGCCUCAAGUGAUGCACCUUCCUCUUCCUCCCAAAGCACUGGGAUUACAAAGGCAUGAGGCACCAUGCCUGACUAACCAUGAAGACUGCUUUAUCUCUGAAUAAAUCCCCUUUUUUUAAAACCCAGCUUUUGUGAGGGUUUCUGUUACUUGCAGCAAAAGGGUCCUGAUGGACACAGUUGUUUUUGCAAUGUAUGAGAAAUCCUCAAAACUGGCUUUUCCCAUGCUUGCCUUCCUCUCCGUUACACGCACUGCCUAAAGCAAAGUGACUGCUUCCUCGGGAGUCAGGUUUUAAGGUCCCUGGGGUAGUUCUGCUUCCACAGUUUAGGUUUACCAAGAGGCAGAUAUGUUUGUCCACGAGCUGGUUUUGCCAGUUGCACUUGUUUUUGUAAUUAUGUAAAGCAAUGAAAUAUGAGUGAGGGAAAGAAUUGCUGUUGUCCAAAAUCCAAACUGAAUGCUUUCCAUAAACAGUAAAGACAAGUUGCUUAGAAAACAAAGCAAAUACAAAACAAUCUUAGAGUUUCAUGCAGGUGAGGCAAGUGUAAAAUAAUUGGAAAAUUUUGUUAAAUCUAGAAUAAUUCUGAACUCAGAUUGUUCCCCAACUGUCCUUCAGUUCUGGCUCUACUUUAAAGCUAUUGGGACUGAAAACCACUGACUUUUUAAAUGACUACACAUGACUCCUAUUAGAUGUCACAUGUCUUAAAAGAGGCCUUAUCCCUUCAAAAUACUGUCAAAUGAAAGAAUAUUUAUAUGUUUUACUUUAGUAAAAUAUUAAAAAUGUUUUCCAUUUUUAAUGUUUCUUUGCUCUAACUGACUAACUGCUUUAACUGAUUACCCAACUAGCUACCAGUCUGGUGGCUUCUGAGUAAAUGUACCCCUGUUCCUCUUUAGCCCCUUCUCCUACCUGGUCAACCUACUGCCCUCAGUCUCUUUCCUUUCUCCAUCUUGUCAGCAUAGAACAGUACAGCAUCAAUAACAACUGAUUUUUGCAAAAUUAUAAUUACAAUAGCAAGAGUAUUUUUCUUUUUUUUUUUGUUUUGAGAUGGAGUAUCGCUCUGUCGCCCAGGCUGUUGUGCGGUGGCAUGAUCUCGGCUCACUGCAAGCUCCAUCUCCUGGGUUCACUCCAUUCUCCUGCCUCAGCCUCCCGAGUAGCUGGGACUACAGGCGACCGCCACCACGCCCGGCUAAUUUUUUUGUAUUUUUAGUGGAGACAGGGUUUCACCGUGUUAGCCAGGAUGGGCUCGAUCUCCUGACCUUGUGAUCCGCCUGCCUCGGCCUCCCAAAGUGCUGGGAUUACAGGCAUGAGCCACUGUGCCUGGCCGAGUAUUUUUCAUUUUAAUAAAAGUUCUGGGAGGAUCUACACUAAAGUGUUAACUGCUAUUUCUGCAUGAAGAGACUGUGGAUUUUUUUCUUAUUUUCAUGUAUGAGGAUAAUAAUGAUGUGUACUAGUAUUGACUUGGUUAUAACAAACUAAAAAUAAUCUUUUAACCCAAGAACAAAGAAUAUUUUGUCUUUUUAUGAGAAUUUACUUUUUACAGAGAACUUUUAGAUCCAUUGAAUCAAUGGUACUUCACAACUACACUGCAAAGAAAACAUUUAUUCCUGCUUCCCGAUGAGGAAACCAAAAUGGGAGAAGGGGAAACCAUGUGGCCUCAGAUGACAAAGCAAGUAAGAAAUAGAGCCUGUUUAGAUGCCCAGGUCCCUGAUGUCUGCUUCAAGUAGUUUUUCGUUUCCCUCAGCAUCACUAAAGAUUUAAUGAAAGCAGAUUGAUCAUAGCUAAAUAUGCUUCCUCUGACAGAAUGAAGAGCAUUUGGCAAUGUAAAAAAAUAGAGUUUUAAGUGAUGAAAGCGCAAGUCCAGAAGGAGACUGGGAGAGGAGGAAGGCCUUCACAGCACUGUUGGGUACUUCCAUACAAGGCCAGUGUCACGUAGGAUACGGUGGCUUCCUUUCUUGAUCAACCACCCCCCAAGACUUCAAAUCAGCUCUGUUAGUCUGUACUGGAAAAUGUGGGCCCACUGUUUAACCUCUUUGGGCUUCAUCAUUGUGUUCUAUUAAAUAGGAGUGAUGAUAGUCACAAGAUUGUUGUCAGAAUUUGAAAUGUUGAUGUAUAUAAAGCCCUUAACACAGCAGCUGAUGGGUUCUAGCAUUGUCAUCAUAAUAAAAACUAGUAAUACUGUUAGUAGUAAUCACACCACUGCUGCUUUAACGGGAAGUAGCAGACUUGCUGAGGGCUACCAGGCUGAUGGGCACUAAUGCUGGAAGAUCAUGAAUCAGAACAAUACACUCUAAGGAUUCAUCAAAACUAUUAUAAUUUUUCUAAGCUUAUCUCAGUUCUCUUCAUUCUUAUGCUGAGAAUUUGACUUCUCAGAGUUUUUUGGGCAACCUCUUUAUCACCUUUAUCAUCUAUUUUAUAAGAAUUAUCACCUCCACUACCACAAACCUCAUUGGUAGUGUUAGACAGAUCACUGAGGCAGAAAGCGAACACAGAAAUUCUGGACUUAAAUUCAACACUUGACCAAAUUGUACCUAAUAGACAUCUAUAGAAUACUCCACCCACUGACAACAGAGUAUAGUCUUCUCAUCUGCAUAUGAACACACUCCAAGAACAACUACAUGCUCAACUAUAAACCAAGUCUUAAUAAAUUCAAAAAAUUUCAAAAUAAUACCAAUCAUAUUCUUGGACCACACUGGAAUAAAAACAGAAAUCAAUACCAAGAUGAUCUUUCAAAAACCACACAAUUACAUGGAAAUUAAACAAUUUGCACUGGAUUGGCUUCUAAACAAUGAAUUUAAGGCAGGAAUAAAAAAAUUAUUUGAAAUAAAUGAAAACAGAGACACAACAUACCAAAAUCUCUGGGAUGCAACAAAAGUAGUGUCAACAAGACAGUUAAUAGCCCUAAAUGCCUAACUCAAAAGGUACAGAGGUCUCAAAUUAACAAUCUAGCAUCACACUUAGAGGAGCUAGAAAGACAAGAAGAAACAACUCUAAAGCUAGCACAAGAAAAGAAAUAACUAGGACUGGGCAUGUUGGCUCAUGCCUAUAAUCCCAGCAGUUUGGGAGGCCAAAGUGGAAAAAUGAUUAAGUCCAGGAGUUUGAGACCAGCCUGGGCAAGGUGGUAAGACCACAGGGCAACACUGCAAAACCCCAUCUCUACCAAAGUAAAAACAAAAAUAAAUAUUAGCCAGGCAUGAUGGUGUGUGCCUGUAGUCCCAGCUACUUGCAAGGCUGAGGUGGGAGGAUUGCUUGAGCCCAGGAGUUCAAGGCUGCAGUGAGGUAUGAUCAUGCUACUCCCCACCAGCCUGGAUAACAGAGCAAGACCCUGUUGAAAGAAAAAAGAAAGAGGAAAGAAAGAAAGAAGGAAAGAAAGAAAGAAAGAAAGAAAGAAAGAAGAAAGAAAAAGAAAGAGAAAGAAAAAGAAAGAAAAGAAAGAAAAAAGAAAAAGAGAAAGGAGGGAAG